CUCUCAUUGUUUCUCUCUACCACCAUUCUCUCUUUUACAAUUUUCUAUAUUAUUGGACAACCGAUAUAGACUAGGUAAUCUGCCUACUACAGACGUGCACUGUAGAUUAGGCCUGCUGUGAGCCGUUUGGGUUGUAUCUUGGAGCCGUCGCUGACCGCCAAUACCUGCACGUGGGGAGGCAACAACGGUUUUAGGACAGUGCGUCUUUUGGCGUGCCUCUCACACCUCACAGGCCAGAUAUUUUCUUACCACUAUUUUAUUAAUUGUUAGAUUUUCUUUUAUGUGAUUUAAAUAUCUACAAAGCAUCUUGGUAGAUCAACA
rnacentral:lncRNA from 1 species